rnacentral:tRNA from 1 species
AUGGAAUGGCAGAUUUAAUGCAUAAGCUUUAAGCGCUUAGUAUGACUAGAAGUCUUCCAUU